AUGGAAAUAAUAGAAUUCUACUGCCUUCUAAGCAGUAGGUCAUAGGUUCGAAUCCUAUUGGGACUACCA
rnacentral:tRNA from 1 species